CAGAGUCUCACUCUGUUGCCCAGGCUGGAGUGCAGUGGCACAAUCUUUGCUCACUGCAACCUCCACCUCCUGGGUUCAAGCAAUUCUCCUGCCUCAGCCUCCUGAGUCCCUGAGACUACAGAUGUAGGCGAAUAACAUGAACACUGCUUCAUCUUUGUUCCACAUGUUUCUGAGAUAGCACCAACUUCACACAUUCCUGGACUGUUGGCAACAGCAGGCCUGAAGAACCACUCUUGGGGCCUUCCCCAGCCCUGGACACAGCCCUUUCCUCUCAAGUCAGUGAUGACCAGACAAUUCAUAAGGCGGCAAAUGGCUUUCCCACACUGGGGCCACUUCGAAGUACCACAUAUGAAAAUAACGUGCAACCCGGGAAAAAGCUCAAGGUCUGGGAAAACACCAAGUGCCUGGAAUCAGUUGUUUGUUGUGAAAUCGAUGCUAAAUAUAUAAAAAGCUAAAGUGAAAGGACUUAUGUGGAAGAAACUUUUAAGUCAACGAUUUGGAUGAAGAAAUGCACAAGAGGCUUCCUUUACACAAAUCUCAUGUGAUCCUGGUUUUAAAUGGGGGUGCAGAGUUCCUGAGAGGACAGCUACUGUGCGUCCGCGUUUGGGAGCCACACUGUGGCUUCCUUUGGCCCCUUUAAGCGGCUGCCAUUCCCUGGCCAGGGAAGACACAGGUGAGAUAGGCCACAGGUGCUUCCUGAAACUGUCUGCUCCUGCUUCCGCUUGACCUUAGCUUUGCAAAUCCUGAGCGCUUUGUGGGCACCUCUGGGAUGCAACUUGUUGGUGUCAUGCCCACUUUGCCAGGUCCUGCUGGCGGAUAUGGGCUGCUUGUCUUCUUUGUCCUCAGGUCCCCAUGUCCCUCCUGAUGGUGUGUGGCCCAGAUGGGAUGGAGUCCUCUGCACCAGCACUUACUUAAGGCUCUACCCACCCACCACUCCCAUUCUCUCUGCUUGUUACUAUAAUCCCCAUUUUCAGAGGAGGAAACAGGCUCAUGAAGGCUCAGUCAUUUACCCAAAUUCAGCAGCAAAGCUUGGAUCUGAACGGAAAGCUCUGUCGUACUUGCCACUUCCUCUGCUGGAUGACAUUUUGGUGGCUCCGUGUUACAUUCUCUAUCAGGCUGUACACCUUUUGAGCCCAAGGGCUGUUCUAUCCAUCCAGCCUGGUCUCACACAUGGAUGUUGGUGAAAAUGGAUGGGGAUGGAUGGAUGGAUGGAUGGAUGUUGGGAAAAUUAAAGGGAAACACAGAGGACGAAUGGAUAGAAUUAAGGGAAGUUUCUUUUGUAUAUAAAUUUUUUCUGAUUAUAAUAUUAUUACAUGGUCCUAAACAUCCAAAUAAAGGAACGUAGAACACAUCA